ensembl:lncRNA
AGAGCCUGGGUGCUGAACAGCUGAAUGACCGGGCACCCAUUGUAGUGAGUCGUGAUGUGGGGAUACACAGUAGUCCAGCAGAGGUUGAGCGGAGGGAGCGGGAGGGAGUGUAUUUUUGGAGGAGGUCACAGAGAUAACUGGGGCUAGGUUGUGGAGAGCUUUGUAGGUGAGGAGUAGGGUUUUGUAUUGGAUACGGUAGUGUACUGGGAGCCAGUGAAGUUGAAUGAGGACAGGGGUGAUGUGGUCAGAUGAUUUGGUGCGGAUGAUGAUCCGGGCGGCUGAGUUCUGAAUGAUCUGCAGUCUGUUGAUGAGUUUGGUGGGGAGUCCGGUUAGGAGGGCGUUGCAGUAGUCUAUGCGUGAUGUGACAAAUGAGUGAACUAGGAUUUCAGUGCUGGAUUGGGUCAGUGAUGGGCGGAGUCUGGCGAUGUUGCGGAGGUGGAAGAAUGCAGUCCGGGUGAUGUUGUGAAUGAAUGAGCGAACAUGGUGGCGCACAUGUUCCAGUUGCCGCCCCCCAUGUUCCAGUUGCCGCCCCGUCGGUUAAGACGCCUAAGUACUCCGGUAGGUCUCACUGGGAGGCGUUUCAUGCUCAAUUUGAACUGCUGGCUGACGCUGGGGGAUGGACAGUAGAGGCUAAAGCAUUGCAGCUGGCUUUGUGCCUCACAGACGACGCGUUGUCGUGCCUGCUGCUGCUUUCACCGGGGGAGAGACGGGAUUACGGAGCUUUAGUGGGGGCCUUGCAGAGGCGGUUUGUACAAUGUGUCAAGCCCGAGCUCCUUCGUAAUGAGCUCGGUAUCCGCGGCAGGAAGCCGGGGGAGUCGCUAAGGGUGUUGGCUAAUGACAUUGAGAGCCUGACACGUAGGGCAUAUGCACACAUGCCCCCCAGCGUGCAGAGCGAGUUGUCACGGGACCAGUUCAUCAGAGCCCUCCUUCCUCUGGAGCUGCGGGUUCAAGUGCAAUUACAGCACCCAAUUUCUCUUCAGUCGGCUUUGGAGAUGGCCGUGGAGAGGGAAAUCGUGUGGGGCGCGGUCGCUGAGGGGGGCCCAAGAGGGAGUUAUCCGGCAGCGGGAGCAGCCCGGGGCCCGGCGGCAGAGGAAAAGCCGGCGUGGGCGACAGAAAUGACGGAACUGAUAAGGGCCGUAUCACUGCAGCCGUCACGCAUUCGACAGCGCCCCGACCAAAGAGCCUGCUGGGGGUGUGGCCAACCUGGACAUUUGGUCAGAGAUUGCCCCACUUCACGUGCGGGUCCGGGAAACACCACAGGGCCCGCACAGGGGGGGAUGUGCAGACCUUAAACAGUUCUUCCCCCGCCUCCCCCGCCCCAGCUGUACCAGAAAUGGAGGGGCCACGUCAUCACAGGCGGGGGAGCCAAGACCCACUUCCCCCAGAAGUCAUCGAAGCUUCAAGGACGGCGGUGGUGGUGGGUCGACUCGGUGGCGGGGAUUCAUGCUAUGUCCCUGUGGCCGUGGAGGGGGUGCCGUGUUCGGCCCUGUUGGAUACCGGUUCAUCUGUGACUGUGCUCAGACCAGACGUGUGCCCGGAGUGGAUUCGGUUGGAGCCCACUGACAUGCAGCUGCACACGGCCACAGGGGGGCUGGCCCCGAUGAAAGGUACGGGGCUACUUACAUUGACUUUGGGGGGAAAGGACGUACGUCACCCGGUGUGGGUAGCAGGACCCAUGUAUUCUGGGCUUUGACUUUUUGAAGGCCACCGGUUGUCUACUCGAUCUGGACAGGGGCACGGUGAGCUUCCGAGGGGGGCCUGUGAUCACUUUGUUGCCCACUGGCUCUUGUUCGGGGCCGCCCGUGGGGCCCCUCUCGCCGGAAGUGUGUGCAGUAGAGCCCGAAGUCAGCGAUCCCCUGCCUGUGGCGUCCGUAACCUUUCCCAGGACUAUGUGCCCCCAGCAGCCCAAGCCCAGUCACGACGACUGGAAGGGGGGGCGUCGCCGCCGACCGUGAGGGAGAUAUGGCUAAAGAACCGGGAGAGGCUGGACGACCAACAGCAGGAGCGGUUGUGGCAGUUGUUGCUCGAGUUCCAGGACAGUUUUGCUAUGAGGGAGGAUGACGUGGGCCGGACUCCCUUGGUGCUGCACGAGAUCGACACUGGGGAGGCCAGGCCUAAGUGUCGGCCGCGUCGUCUCCCUUUGGCACGUCAGGAGGUGGUGUACCGUUUGCACCUACCACCUAAAGGAAGAAGGGUGGCACUGCACAGAGAAAAACUGGCUCCGUACCGAGGAGGUGCCUCCCCACUGGCCCAGGGGGGUCCCGUUACCCCUCGCUGCUGCCCUGCCGCCUCAAAGCCCAGCCCCCCGGCGACACCGGCGGGGCCUCGGUCUGACGCGGUCUGACUAACCAGCCCUCCCCUGUAUCCGAUACCCUUUCCCCCCGUCCCCCUUCCUCCAAGGUGCUGAAGACCCCGUACCCUUUACACCGGAGUCCCGGGGAGGGGGUUCUCGACGGCCCAGGGGGCCACCAGGGCACUUAAAAUACUUUGUUUUGCUAUCUGUAGGAUGAGUUUAGUAAUUUUGUUCAGCGUUGUGCCUGUUGUUAUGUGGGGGGAGUUGAAGCUCGUUAUGUUAAAGAGAAGUUACGUUAUUCUGAGGGCUGUUUUUUUUCUGUGAUUCCUCGGGGCGAGGAACUUUGUGAAGGGGGGGUAAUGAAGCGUCACAGGGUUUGGGAGGAAGGGGCGGGCCUUCUGAGAGGGGGUUCCGGGGGUUUCCCUUCCGGUCGGGAGUUUUGGUUGUUGUAGUUUUCCGGUUGAGCUUCGCCUGUCUGUCCGAUUGUGGAACCCAAUAAACCUGCUAUCAAGCUUACUUCGCUCACUGCCUCGCCUCUGGUCAUUACACUAUUUAUGUUUGUGUUUAAUCUUUUUUUUUAGGGUAAGCCCAGCAAACGGAGGCUUUUGUGCACCUUAGGGUGGCGCACAAACAUGAUGUCAAAUAAAUGCACCACCGAUCAUUUGCAAUGUUUGUCAUUUGUAAUGAACGUAUAUAAUUGUAUUUUAUAUACUAUACUUAUG